rnacentral:siRNA from 1 species
GUGUGUGACACAUUCCCAACAAC